UUAAGUUCAGCGGGUAGUCCUACCUGAUUUGAGGUCAAAUUGUCAUGUAUUGUCCGAAUGAACAGACGGUUAUAAGCAGUGCAAAACCCAUAUAAUUGCAGACAUCCACGGCGUAGAUAAUUAUCACACCAAUAGACAGUCCACGCGGGGCACCGGCUAAUGCAUUUAAGGGGAGCUGACCUCCAUGAAUGAAGCCAGCA
rnacentral:misc_RNA from 1 species